rnacentral:rRNA from 1 species
AGCAGCCGCGGUAAUUCCAGCUCCAAUAGCGUAUAUUAAAGUUGCUGCAGUUAAAAAGCUCGUAGUUGAAUUUCGGGAUCAAUAUGUCGGUCGUGCCUCGGUACGUACUGGCAUCGUUGGUUUCUCCUUUCUGAAGAACCAUGAUGUCAUUUAUUUGGUGUCGUGGGGAAUCAGGACUGUUACUUUGAAAAAAUUAGAGUGUUUAAAGCAGGCUCACGCUUGAAUACAUUAGCAUGGAAUAAUGAAAUAGGACGUUUGAUUCUAUUUUGUUGGUUUCUAGGAUCGACGUAAUGAUUAAUAGGGAUAGUUGGGGGCAUUAGUAUUCAAUUGUCAGAGGUGAAAUUCUUGGAUUUAUUGAAGACUAACUACUGCGAAAGCAUUUGCCAAGGAUGUUUUCAUUAAUCAAGAACGAAAGUUAGGGGAUCGAAGACGAUCAGAUACCGUCGUAGUCUUAACCAUAAACUAUGCCGACUAGGGAUCGGAUGAUGUUAAUUUUUUAAUGACUCAUUCGGCGCCUUACG